GGGAUAACGUAGGGAAACUUACGCUAAUACCGCAUACGACCUACGGGUGAAAGCAGGGGAUCUUCGGACCUUGCGCGAUUGAAUGAGCCGAUGUCGGAUUAGCUAGUUGGCGGGGUAAAGGCCCACCAAGGCGACGAUCCGUAGCUGGUCUGAGAGGAUGAUCAGCCACACUGGAACUGAGACACGGUCCAGACUCCUACGGGAGGCAGCANUGGGGAAUAUUGGACAAUGGGCGCAGGCCUGAUCCAGCCAUACCGCGUGGGUGAAGAAGGCCUUCGGGUUGUAAAGCCCUUUUGUUGGGAAAGAAAUCCAGCCGGCUAAUACCUGGUUGGGAUGACGGUACCCAAAGAAUAAGCACCGGCUAACUUCGUGCCAGCAGCCGCGGUAAUACGAAGGGUGCAAGCGUUACUCGGAAUUACUGGGCGUAAAGCGUGCGUAGGUGGUCGUUUAAGUCCGUUGUGAAAGCCCUGGGCUCAACCUGGGAACUGCAGUGGAUACUGGGCGACUAGAGUGUGGUAGAGGGUAGCGGAAUUCCUGGUGUAGCAGUGAAAUGCGUAGAGAUCAGGAGGAACAUCCAUGGCGAAGGCAGCUACCUGGACCAACACUGACACUGAGGCACG
rnacentral:rRNA from 1 species